rnacentral:lncRNA from 1 species
AGGAAAUCUAGAAACAAGGGGAUAAACAUACACUUAGACCUGAGCAGAGACUAACACAUUACAAAGCAGUUACUCCCAAUAAAAUUUUCUUCAAGAGACAGUAAUGUUUAUGACAGGUAAAAUUUCCAGAAUCCAAAGUUUACAAACAGAUCUGUGUCCUAGAAAGACCUGGAAGAACCCAGAACCCAUCUAGAGAACAGAACCCACCUACUGACCAGGCAGCAUCAUUUACAAUGAUGGGAGUCUUACUUAACGCCCUUUCUUACACCAUAUGUUGUGGGGUUCGUCAGAUUCAGUCCUGUGAGUGCAAAUAUCUCAAUCUAAACUUAGGCACAUGUGCUUAUCGUCACCAGAACACAGAGGCUAAAUACCCGUUGCGUUGUACGUUCAUUUAAG